CCCCCUCGAGAUGAGAUUUCCCAUCUCAAUAAGAGAGUAAGACCCCUGAAAGACGAUCAGGUAGAUAGGUUCGGAGUGGAAGCCUAGUAAUAGGUGAAGCGGACGAAUACUAAUCGGUCGAGGACUUAUCCAAA
rnacentral:rRNA from 1 species